rnacentral:rRNA from 1 species
AUUGAACGCUGGCGGCAUGCCUUACACAUGCAAGUCGAACGGUAACGGGUCCUUCGGGAUGCCGACGAGUGGCGAACGGGUGAGUAAUAUAUCGGAACGUGCCCAGUAGUGGGGGAUAACUGCUCGAAAGAGCAGCUAAUACCGCAUACGACCUGAGGGUGAAAGGGGGGGAUCGCAAGACCUCUCGCUAUCGGAGCGGACGAUAUCAGAUUAGCUAGUUGGUGGGGUAAAGGCCUACCAAGGCAACGAUCUGUCGUUGGUCUGAGAGGACGACCAGCCACACUGGGACUGAGACACGCCCCACACUCCUACGGGAGGCAGCAGUGGGGAAUGUUGGACAAUGGGCGCAAGCCUGAUCCAGCAAUGCCGCGUGCAGGAAGAAGGCCUUCGGGUUGUAAACUGCUUUUGUCAGGGAAGAAAUCUUCUGGGCUAAUACCCCGGGAGGAUGACGGUACCUGAAGAAUAAGCACCGGCUAACUACGUGCCAGCCGCCGCGGUAA